rnacentral:rRNA from 1 species
GAACUUACAAGAUCUUUGGUNCUUCGGGAACUGUGAGACAGGUGCUGCAUGGUUGUCGUCAGCUCGUGUUGUGAAAUGUUGGGUUAAGUCCCGCAACGAGCGCAACCCUUAUCCUUUGUUNGCCAGCGGUUAGGCCGGGAACUCAAAGGAGACUGCCAGUGAUAAACUGGAGGAAGGUGGGGAUGACGUCAAGUCAUCAUGGCCCUUACGACCAGGGCUACACACGUGCUACAAUGGCAUAUACAAAGAGAAGCGACCUCGCGAGAGCAAGCGGACCUCAUAAAGUAUGUCGUAGUCCGGAUUGGAGUCUGCAACUCGACUCCAUGAAGUCGGAAUCGCUAGUAAUCGUAGAUCAGAAUGCUACGGUGAAUACGUUCCCGGGUCUUGUACA